CGAUAAAGAGUUGAGUGGCGAACGGGUGAGUAACACGUGGGCAACCUGCCCAAAAGAGGGGGAUAACACUUGGAAACAGGUGCUAAUACCGCAUAACCAUAGUUACCGCAUGGUAACUAUGUAAAAGGUGGCUAUGCUACCGCUUUUGGAUGGGCCCGCGACGCAUUAGCUAGUUGGUGGGGUAAAGGCUUACCAAGGCAAUGAUGCGUAGCCGAACUGAGAGGUUGAUCGGCCACAUUGGGACUGAGACACGGCCCAAACUCCUACGGGAGGCAGCAGUAGGGAAUCUUCCACAAUGGGCGAAAGCCUGAUGGAGCAACGCCGCGUGGGUGAAGAAGGUCUUCGGAUCGUAAAACCCUGUUGUUAGAGAAGAAAGUGCGUGAGAGUAACUGUUCACGUUUCGACGGUAUCUAACCAGAAAGCCACGGCUAACUACGUGCCAGCAGCCGCGGUAAUACGUAGGUGGCAAGCGUUAUCCGGAUUUAUUGGGCGUAAAGAGAACGCAGGCGGUUUUUUUAAGUCUGAUGUGAAAGCCUUCGGCUUAACCGGAGUAGUGCAUUGGAAACUGGGAGACUUGAGUGCAGAAGAGGAGAGUGGAACUCCA
rnacentral:rRNA from 1 species